GAUGAACGCUAGCGGCAGGCUUAAUACAUGCAAGUCGAGGGGCAGCAUGGUGUAGCAAUACACUGAUGGCGACCGGCAAACGGGUGCGGAACACGUACAGAACCUUCCUUCGAGCGGGGAAUAGCCCAGAGAAAUUUGGAUUAAUACCCCAUAGUAUAUUGAAAAGGCAUCUUUUUAAUAUUAAAGAUUUAUCACUUGAAGAUGGCUGUGCGGAUGAUUAGGUAGUUGGCGGGGUAACGGCCCACCAAGCCUGCGAUCAGUAACUGGUGUGCGAGCACGACCAGUCACACGGGCACUGAGACACGGGCCCGACUCCUACGGGAGGCAGCAGUAAGGAAUAUUGGUCAAUGGACGAAAGUCUGAACCAGCCAUGCCGCGUGGAGGAUGAAGGUCCUCUGGAUUGUAAACUUCUUUUAUAUGGGACGAAAAAAGGCUUUUCUAAGUCGUCUGACGGUACCAUAUGAAUAAGCACCGGCUAACUCCGUGCCAGCCGCCGCAGUAACAC
rnacentral:rRNA from 1 species